rnacentral:rRNA from 1 species
GACGAACGCUGGCGGCGUGCUUAACACAUGCAAGUCGAACGGAAAGGCCCUGCUUUUGUGGGGUGCUCGAGUGGCGAACGGGUGAGUAACACGUGAGUAACCUGCCCUUGACUGUGGGAUAACUUCAGGAAACUGGGGCUAAUACCGGAUAGGAGCUCCUGCUGCAUGGUGGGGGUUGGAAAGUUUCGGCGGUUGGAGAUGGACUCGCGGCUUAUCAGCUUGUUGGUGGGGUAGUGGCUUACCAAGGCUUUGACGGGUAGCCGGCCUGAGAGGGUGACCGGCCACAUUGGGACUGAGAUACGGCCCAGACUCCUACGGGAGGCAGCAGUGGGGAAUAUUGCACAAUGGGCGGAAGCCUGAUGCAGCAACGCCGCGUGCGGGAUGACGGCCUUCGGGUUGUAAACCGCUUUCGCCUGUGACGAAGCGUGAGUGACGGUAAUGGGUAAAGAAGCACCGGCUAACUACGUG